CCGGUNUAUUCCCUNGGACGGGUCAACAUCAGUUUGGAUCGGCGGAAAAGGGCAGUUGGAAGGUAGCAGCUCCGGUUGUGUUAUAGCCUUCUGUSAUACGCUNGUCUNGACUVAGGAAUGCAGCUCGCCUUCAUGGCUGGGGUUCUCCCACAUMCGAGCUUAGGAUVUUGACAUAAUGGCUU
rnacentral:rRNA from 1 species